AGAAUCAACGCUGGCGGCGUGCCUAACACAUGCAAGUCGAACGAGAAAGUGGAGCAAUCCAUGAGUAAAGUGGCGCACUGGUGAGUAACACGUGACUAACCUACCCUGGAGUGGGGGAUAACUGAGGGAAACCUUAGCUAAUACCGCAUAACACCUACGGGUCAAAGGAGCAAUUCGCUUUAGGAGGGGGUCGCGGCAGAUUAGUUAGUUGGCGGGGUAAUGGCCCACAAGACGGUGAUCUGUA
rnacentral:rRNA from 1 species